rnacentral:rRNA from 1 species
AGAAUCAACGCUGGCGGCGUGCCUAACACAUGCAAGUCGAACGCGAAAGUCCCGCAAGGGGCGAGUAGAGUGGCAAACGGGUGAGUAACACGUGGGUGACCUGCCUUCGAGCGGGGGAUAACGUCCCGAAAGGGACGCUAAUACCGCAUGACAUCCUGCCUUUGAAGAGGUGGAGAUCAAAGCUGGGGAUCGCAAGACCUAGCACUCGAAGAGGGGCCCGCGCCUGAUUAGCUAGUUGGUGGGGUAACGGCUCACCAAGGCGACGAUCAGUA